rnacentral:rRNA from 1 species
GACGUAGGGUGCAAGCGUUGUCCGGAUUUAUUGGGCGUAAAGAGCUCGUAGGCGGCUUGUUGCGUCGACUGUGAAAACCCGCGGCUUAACCGCGGGCUUGCAGUCGAUACGGGCAGGCUAGAGUUCGGUAGGGGAGACUGGAAUUCCCGGUGUAGCGGUGAAAUGCGCAGAUAUCGGGAAGAACACCCGUGGCGAAGGCGGUUCUCUGGGACGGUACUGACGCUGAGACGCGAAAGCGUGGGGAGCGAACAGG